rnacentral:rRNA from 1 species
AGAUUGAACGCUGGCGGCAGGCCUAACACAUGCAAGUCGAGCGGUAGAGAGGUGCUUGCACCUCUUGAGAGCGGCGGACGGGUGAGUAAAGCCUAGGAAUCUGCCUGGUAGUGGGGGAUAACGCUCGGAAACGGACGCUAAUACCGCAUACGUCCUACGGGAGAAAGCAGGGGACCUUCGGGCCUUGCGCUAUCAGAUGAGCCUAGGUCGAUUAGCUAGUUGGUGAGGUAUGGCUCACCAAGGCGACGAUCCGUAACUGGUCUGAGAGGAUGAUCAGUCACACUGGAACUGACGACACGGU